rfam:Gossypium raimondii Chr09_contig_1560, whole genome shotgun sequence.
UAUUAAAAAAUUCAUCUAUUUCUAUUAUUAAAAAUUAACAUAGCUAAUAAAAUAACUAGACAAUUAUAUGAGGCAUUCCACGUGUAUCUCAUUUUAGCAUAUAUAUAGAGAUCAACUUUUAAUAGUAGAAAUUGAUGGAAUUUUAAUA